rnacentral:tRNA from 1 species
GCCGACGUAGCUCAAUUGGCAGAGCAGGCGUUUUGUAAACGUCUGGUUAUGGGUUCGAGUCCCUUCGUCGGCU